rnacentral:rRNA from 1 species
UACGGGGGGGGGCAAGCGUUGUUCGGAAUUACUGGGCGUAAAGGGCUCGUAGGUGGCCAACUAAGUCAGACGUGAAAUCCCCAGGCUCAACUUGGGAACUGCGUCUGAUACUGGAUGGCUUGAAUUCGGGAGAGGGAUGCAGAAUUCCAGGUGUAGCGGUGAAAUGCGUAGAUAUCUGGAGGAAUACCGGUGGCGAAGGCGGCAUCCUGGACCGGCAUUGACGCUGAGGCGCGAAAGCCAGGGGAGCAAACGGG